UCUCUCUUGUCUCUCUCAUGGCGAUUUCUGGUGAACAAGAGCAUCUUCGGCCUAAUCCCGCGAUUUCCGGUGAACAGGAGCAUCUUCGGCUUAAUCCCUGCCAAUGCUCAUUGUCCAGGAAAAGAGUGGUUAUUUCAAAGAUAAAGCGAGGCUCCAAGGCUCCCUCAGCACCCUCAAGGAGCACGAUGACAAGCGCCAGCUCACAAUUCUCGCCGGAAUCGAUCUGCCUCUCGGUGGAACCGGUCGCCCUGACAUCCUAGGGUUGUAUUAUGCGAAAAUUGGAAUUGGAACACCUGCGAAGAGCUAUAUUACGUUCAACUCGACACAGGGAGUGAUAUCAUGUGGGUUAACUGUAUUCAGUGCAAACAGUGUCCAAAACGAAGCAAUGUUGGUAUCGAGCUGAUACUCUACGACAUUGAGGAAUCAGAGAGCGCGAAGUUGGUUUCUUGCGAUGAAGACUUUUGCUUCUAGAUUAGUGGUGGUCCUCUCUCAGAUUGAGGAAUCGGAGAGCGCGAAAGAUUCAUUCCUCUGUUAUUAUUAAUUUGUUUAGUGAUAAACACAAUUUAGAGAGAGUUUGCACCAGCAAUAUGAACUGGUGAAGAAGAGGACGGCAGGAACUGUUUCGACGCAUGGUUCUCAUGUGAUGGAGUUUGGAGAUAUAGGACUACUAAGCAAAGGGAAGCUCGUCCUUUACUUGGGUAGAAAUCCAGACAAUGAUCAUUAUCACGCAUGAACCCAGCUGGCUUCUUGAUUGGUACUGGAGCAGCGAUACAGGGAAGAACAUGAGCUGAGUUUUUCCCUGAUAAAACUGAAGUUCAAUGCAUGCAUCGAUGGCAAAAAGUCUUGGAUCCAAACCUUACCAAGGGACCUUGGACACAGCAGGAGGAUGAGACAAUCGUUGAGCUUGUUAUUCUCAUUACUUCUCGUUUAUCAUGUGAUUGCAGUGUAAGCUAGCCCACAUCUUACUAGGUGAUUCGUUUGGUGGUCACCUGGAGAGUUUCUUAGGCACAGUUUGGAGCGCCUUUGUAUAUGUGAUAAGUCAGAGUUUCUUGGUUGGGAACCAAAGGUGUCUCUUCGUCAGGGACUCCCUCUCAUGGUCAAAGACUUCCGUCAACGUGUCUUUGGUGACCAGAAGGAAGGCUCCUCCAUGGCUACAACCACCACCAAAACAACCUCAGCUUAAGCAAACGCCGAUGCAAGUAGCAGCCAUUGCGGUUGUUUAAUGGUUUAUACCCAAAAGAAUACAAGGGCACUGCUUGCAGCUACAAUGUGGAGAGGAGAGAGCUUCGUUUUCUAAAAUUUAUUUUGUUUUUGUUUUUUUUUAUUAUGAUAUUAUAUUAUGUGUAACGUAGAGUAAGAGUUUGGUACCUUUACUACUUAUUCAUGGACCUCACUACAGUCUAAGAAAACCCUUUUUGUCU